rnacentral:rRNA from 1 species
AUUGAACGCUGGCGGCAGGCCUAACACCUGCAAGUCGAACGAGUGGCGGACGGGUGAGUAAUGUCUGGGAAACUGCCUGAUGGCGGGGGAUAACUACUGGAAACGGUCGCUAAUACCGCAUACCAUCGAAUGUGCCCAGCUGGGAUUAGAUAGUAGGUGGGGUAAAGGCUCACCUAGGCGACGAUCCCUAGCUGGGCUGAGAGGAUGACCAGCCACACUGGAACUGAGACACGGUCAAGACUCCGACGGGAGGCAGCAGUGGGGAAUAUUGCACAAUGGGCGCAAGCCUGAUGCAGCCAUGCCGCGUGUAUGAAGAAGUCCUUCGGGUUGUAAAGUACUUUCAGCGGGGAGGCGUUACCCGCAGAAGAAGCACCGGCUAACUCCGUGCCAGCAGCCGCGGUAAUAC